CGGGGUGCAGCAGGCGCGAAAACUUUACAAUGCUGGCAACAGCGAUAAGGGGACCUCGAGUGCCAGGAUACAAUCUUGGCUGUCGUGAUGCCUAAAAAGCAUUGCAUAGCAAGGGCCGGGCAAGACCGGUGCCAGCCGCCGCGGUAACACCGGCGGCUCGAGUGGUAACCGCUAUUAUUGGGUCUAAAGGGUCUGUAGCCGGCCGGAUAAGUCUCUUGGGAAAUCCGACAGCUCAACUGUCGGGCUUUCAGGGGAUACUGUUCGGCUCGAGGCCGGGAGAGGUGAGAGGUACUUCAGGGGUAGGGGUGAAAUCUUGUACUCCUUGAAGGACCACCAGUGGCGAAGGCGUCUCACCAGAACGGUCCUGACGGCAAGGGACGAAAGCUAGGGGCACGAACCGGAUUAGAUACCCGGGUAGUCCUAGCCGUAAACGAUACUCGCUAGGUGUCGGCCACGGUGCGACCGUGGUCGGUGCCGUAGGGAAGCCGUGAAGCGAGCCACCUGGGAAGUACGGCCGCAAGGCUGAAACUUAAAGGAAUUGGCG
rnacentral:rRNA from 1 species